UUUUUUCUGCAAGUACGGACACAAGUUUUUAAUUUUAUGUUAUGAUGUUCUACGAACUCAGAAGAUCGUAGUUGACUAAUGUUUUUCUUGCAUGGCAAAUGCUUAUACAGAUUCACUAAUAGAGCAUUACAUAUCCUUUUAUUGAGUAAUGUAUUAUUUUGGUAAAUUACAACAAUGAGAAUGCAAUGGAAGGGGGAAUUAGACUGUUAUUCUAUAAUGAUAUAAUAUUCGUAAAAUGAUUUGUUUGCUGUUUGUGUAUUUAACAAUGACAAGUAUAACAGUGAUUGAUCAGCAAACAAAGUGCUCUGUGCUUGUAUAGUUUCAAAUUCUGAGUCAUGCUCGUAAAUUCGCCAUGUAUGCAUAAUGCAUCUUAUUUAUAUGUGGCAUUACAUAGUGGGUAUUUUUUAGAAUUCUAAAGGGGGAAUUAGACUAAGGCAAUUGUCAAUAAUAGCACCUUUUGAAGUUUAUGUCUCAAAAAUUGCACUAGAAGGAGAAAGUCACAAAAAUGACAUUCAUUAAAGGGUAAAAUAUCCCUUAUACCCUUGGUUUAAAAUUAAAUAAACAAACAAAAAUAAAAAAAAAUAAAAAUAAAUAAAAAUAAAUAAAAUAAAAAAAAAAUUUAUAGUUUCAGAUUAUGUGUUUUCAGAUUCGAAAUUUUUAUAAUUUUUUUUUUUAAAAUUUCUUUUUUUGAAAUUUUUUUUUCGAAAUUUUUUUUUUCGAAAUUUUUUUUAUUUUUUUUCAAAUUUUCUUUUUAUAAUUUAAAAAUACUUUUUGAAACUGUUUUUAAAAUUUUUAUUUUUUUAUUUUAGUAUUUAUUUUUUAUAAAAUUUUAAACCCUAAUUCCAAAACCCCACCCCUUAACUCUAAACCCUAAGGUUUGGAUUAAUUAACCCAAGGGGUAUAAGUGUA
rnacentral:lncRNA from 1 species